UGGGGAAUUUUGGACAAUGGGCGAAAGCCUGAUCCAGCAAUGCCGCGUGUGUGAAGAAGGCCUUCGGGUUGUAAAGCACUUUUGUCCGGAAAGAAAUCCUUGGCUCUAAUACAGUCGGGGGAUGACGGUACCGGAAGAAUAAGCACCGGCUAACUACGUGCCAGCAGCCGCGGUAAUACGUAGGGUGCAAGCGUUAAUCGGAAUUACUGGGCGUAAAGCGUGCGCAGGCGGUUUGCUAAGACCGAUGUGAAAUCCCCGGGCUCAACCUGGGAACUGCAUUGGUGACUGGCAGGCUAGAGUAUGGCAGAGGGGGGUAGAAUUCCACGUGUAGCAGUGAAAUGCGUAGAGAUGUGGAGGAAUACCGAUGGCGAAGGCAGCCCCCUGGGCCAAUACUGACGCUCAUGCACGAAAGCGUGGGGAGCAAACAGGAUUNGAUACCCUGGUAGUCCACGCCCUAAAGCGAUGUCAACUAGUUGUUGGGGAUUCAUUUCCUUAGUAACGUAGCUAACGCGUGAAGUUGACCGCCUGGGGAGUAC
rnacentral:rRNA from 1 species